GAUUGGAUCGUUAUGCGGCAUGUCGAGCCCAUUUGUCUCGCUUUCUUCGAACGUGAUCACGUCGUUAGGUCGAUCGAGGCGUCUCGUCCAGUUGCUAGGCGUCUCGGCUCGGCGCUGAUAAGCUUUGAUUGCCGCUAUGGUGUCAGGACAGUAUGGUGAUCCACCCAUUAUGGUAAGAACCUUCUGUCGCGUACCAUCUCGGUCUUCGUCUUCCGUCCCUCGGGUUCUUUUCUGAGACUCCUGGUUCCUUGGUUCGGGAUCUCUUCCCGGGUUGGUCUGCUCGGGUUCUGGCUCUGGCUCGAGGUCCUUAAGAGUAACGUUUGUUCCGAGUUCUCCAGCUAGGAA
rnacentral:lncRNA from 1 species